rnacentral:lncRNA from 1 species
UGAAGCCCUUAUGAUUUGUUGUAAUGUUUCAGGAAUUCCUAUGUUCCAGGAAUUAUUUUCCAGCCAGUAUCGGGUGGAGGAGGUGGACUUGCCAUGGCACCAAUAUCUGCAAAUUCAUAUCAUCACGAUUUUUAGAAAACAUGCUUUUACACAUUCAAUGUGAUAUUAUAUUAUUAAAAAAUAAACUUAAAAUUUAAUUUAAUCUUAUAAAAUCGAGUAAUAUUUAUUUUUAUUUAUAUUUUAAGAAUUGUCUAUAUUUAUUAUUCAAAUAUUUUUUGUAAAGUUUUGGAUGAUUGAAAGACAGAGACAAACAUGGUCUUGCUGGAUUGGUUGGAUGAAGAAAGUGAAAAUGAUUAUGAGAAGAAUAAAUAAAGAUAAAGAGAGAGAAGAAAGAGUGGUCCGAGCCAUCCCCAGUUUGUGUGUGUUCAAUGCUCAAACCCAAACCCUAUUAAUAUACAACUUCUCCUUCAGAGUCACCAAGCCUAAAUUUGACAUAUUUUUGAAGAGACGAUGAUAUUUAAAAACUCUUUUUUAAUAACUUUUUUAUAACAGGACACGUGUCACCAUUUUAUUGGUCUAUUUGAAUUUAUUUUAAAAAAUAUUUGAAACGGACUAAUUACAAACCGUCACGUAUACAUUAUCAAAAAAUUAUAAAAAAAAAUUGUUAAAGAGACUUUUUCUUUUUUUAAGCUUCCAGUGAAAUUUUCCGAGGAAAAUUAGGUCAAUAAAGAUAAUAAAGGGAACACGUUUUGGCAGCAAAAAUGAAAAGAAAAAGUAACUUGCUUUUGCUUUUAACUUUUGCAUCAUCAUAUUGUAAUAUGAAUUAUUUAUCAACUUUUUUUAAGAAUCUAUUAAAAUUAAUCUCUUGUAAUUAUUUUCUUAUCUAUCCAUACUUUUUUUAUCACAUGCAAAAUUUCCAAUUAUAUUUUACUUCAAAGAGCUUUAAUCCAAAUUCACUUGGAGAAAACAAAUAUGUUAAUUGUAAAAUAAAAGUUCGAAGUAAUGUUAUUAUAAAAUCUAACAGAAACGUGUUAUUUAAAGGUAGGAAAGAAAGAAAAGAGCAUGCAAAAUGGGUUAGAUAUUUUGAAGCCGCGUUCUAACCUUAACUUCCUAUUGUCCUUGCCGAAAUUCAAUUGUUGCUACUUUAGAGGUUUCAUACUUUCAAAUAACAGGUUUCUGUUCAUUUUUCUACUAGAACGUGUUCCCUUUAUUAUCUUCAUUGAGCUCGUUUUCUAUGGGAAAUUUCACUGAAAGCUCAAAAGUAUGCCAAAUUUAGGUUUGGUGGCUGUGAAGCAGAAGUUAUAUAUUAAACACACACAAACUGGGGAAAGCUCAAAUAAAAAAUUAAGAUAUCCAUUAUAAAGUUCGUGAUUACGAGCAACCAAACAAAUCUGGUUUCAGCCUUCAAAAUAAACUGGAAUAUGGCUGGGAUCAGAGUUUCUUCUAAUUUUGUAUAUUUCCUUGUUCUGUUAGCAAUGGCAUUUUCUUUCUUUGCACAGCUUACUUCAGUUAGUGCAGGUUUGUGUAGCUACUACCUCUUUAAAAUAUGCAAACACAUAUGAACAACAUGUGUUUAGAAUUGUAAGAUCAUUAUCACUGUCAUUAGUGUUAGGUAUACGAUGAAUGCAUGAAAGUGUUUACCACGUUGGAAAUCCCGCAUCGACUAGAGAUAAGGCCUUAUUUGCACCUAAUUUAUGAUAGAAUAAAGAGAUUUUAUUUUUAGGUAAGUUGAUAUUUUAUCGUCAGUUUUUUUAUUAUUUGUAGUUGGUCCAAGACCUAAUUUGUACCUAUUUAAAGGUUGCCAAAGUUUAAUGAAAAUAACCCACAAUGGAUUGAAGAGUAAUAUUAUUUGUGUGGAUCAAACCCACAAUGGAUUGAAGAGUAAAAUUAUUUGUGUGGGUCACGCUAUGAGUGUGUAAGGGAGAUUUUCCCAACAGUAGUAUCAGAGCUAUGUUUUGUGGGGUUGAGUUAGGUCUAAAACUCACUUGUAACACUUCUAACAUACCACGUAAAGUAAAAGUAAAUUUUGUUGCAGUUAAAAGCAUAUUGUGUAUCUUGAAAAGUUUAUAACGUAGUGUGAUCUUGAUUUGCAGAUCUUAAAGUGAGAAAAUUGGGUGUGAUGCCAAGGUCUCCUCCUUCACCUGCGAGUAAUCCAUCUCAGCAUACAACCACCUGAUCUUUCUCCUCCAGCCAUUUAAAUUUUCAUUUCGUGCUUAUAUAUCUUGUUAUUGUUAUUGAAAACAUACUCAGUAUUUGGUCAGAGGGUUCUGACAUUCUUCUUCUUCUGCUGUUUCGUCUGUGUUUUGUAAUAAGUCAGGUUUCAGGCACUUUUGUUGGUUUUGAAUUGUUUUGUGGUGACUUCUUUAAUCAAUCUCUUCAUUUUGUUUUUUUUUUCAAUUGAAUCUUAUUUUUGAAAAAUUAAAACAAUUGCACUCUCUAUCAAACAUAUUUGGGUGUGGACUGAUAAAAAAUUAUUAAAUAAAAAAUCUUUUACCAAGAAAUUAUGAAAAUAUUUCAUCAUAAAAAAUUGUUAAAUAAAAACAAUCUCCUUUUAUAUAUAGGUUAGCAGAUGUAUGCAACAAGAAAAAUAAAAAAAAUAUAUGUUAGAAGAUGUAGAUAAAAAAGAAAAUCUCCUUUAUAUACGUUAGUGGAAACAAAUACACUACUUGUAUGUGUAUCUAUUUUUUUUAUUCUAACAAAAAAAAAUUAAAUUAUAAAAAUAUAAAUUUGUUUUAUCUUUUUAUUAUUAAAUAAUAAUUUAUUAUAAAUAAAUAUUUAAAUUUUAAAAACUGAUAAUUAAAAAGAUAAAAUAAUUAUUUUAGUUUAUAAAAUAAUUAAAUUUAGAUCACGACUAUUUAAAAGGUAAAAAUGAAAAUAUGAUUAUUUUAAUUUAAACUAAAGAUUAAAAUAAAAUUGAAAAGAAAAUAUUUACAAAACAAAAUGAUUUUUUUUUAUGCAGACAAAAUAAAAUCUUCUACGAUAUAGACAAAUAAUAAAAUCUGAAUCAAAAUUUUCAAAUGAUAAAAAAAUAGAUCUUUCUUGAACACUACCUAACGUAAUUUUGUUUUUCUAAAAAAGUAAAACUUAAUUAACAUUUGUUUUUAAAACAAAAAUUUAAUUGUGAUCUUUAUUUUUUUUCUUGGGAAAAUGAUAUUUAUAUAUAUACACUUUCAAAAUUCACCCUUAUCUAUUUCAUACUUUAUUUGAUGUCGGGGUUCAUUUAUCUAAUUCUAUAAUGUCAUUUUAUUUACAAAAUUGUCACCGAUCAUUUUUUAUUGAAUUUUUUUUUGUUAGAGGUUAAACACGUGAAGCUAUUUGCGUACUAAUUAAAAUUGUAUUUAUACAUUUUAACUUUUAAUAUUAAAAUAAGUAAGUUUUAUCGUUUAGAUCAUUCUAUCACUUCUUAUUCUUUAUUACCAACGAGAGUCAAGUUUGGAAUCAACUUGUAUAAAUGUGUUUUUAUAAUAUAUACUGUUUACUUUUCUUAUAGAGAGUCACAUUAACAUUCUGAAUUACACAUUCUUAAAGUAGCAAAAAAUUGUCUUCUCCGAGGACAGCUAUAAAUUUUACACAUUCUUACCACGAAGUUUCCUUUUAUAAUAGUUUUUUCUGGUUCGCCAUUUUAGACAAUUCCUCAAUUAGAAGCGGUGAAAAUUAAUACUAAGUAAAAUAUAAUUGGAAUUUUACAAGUGAUUAGAUAAGAAAAAAAAAUACUGCUAGUGAUUAGUUUUAGGUUCUAAAAAAAACUGAUAAGUAGUUCAUAUUGUAAUAUAAUGAUUCAAAAAAUAAAAACAAAAGCUAGUUAUCUUUUCUGUUGAUUUUUUGUACCAAAACGCGUUCCUUUGUUAUCAUUAUUGACCAAGUUUUAUAUGGGAAAUUUGAUUGAAAAGGUCCAAAGAAAAUAAAAAAUUUAGGUUUGGUGACUAUGAAGAAGAAGUUGUAUUUAUAAAUUGGGUUUGGAUAGCAAUAAAACGAACAUAAACUGAGGAUGGCUAGGACCACUCUUUCUUCUCUCUCUUUAUCUUUUUGUAUUCUCCUCAUAAUCACCUUCACCUUGUUCAUGCAACCAACUCCAGUAAGAGCAGCAGGUUUGUCUCUGUCAUUCAAUCAUUUCAUUUUUUUUUCCCAAAAGAAAAUUUACAAUGAUGAUCACUGAGAAAUUCAACCACAUAUACGUUUAAUACAUUAAAUACUGCAUUUCUAAUGUUUAGCGUAGAAAGAUGGUUUUAAAUUAUGGUUAUGAAAUAUUGGAUGUCAUAUUUGUAACUAGCAUUUGGUUGUGGAGACUAAGAAAAUCUUUGCAUUAAAAUAAUAAAUUUAAAUCUGACUGUUCUAAACAAAAACAUAUUUCAACUGUAGUAUCUUAAAAGGUUUAUAACGUGAUUUGAUCUUGAUUUGCAGAUCUGAAAGUGAGAAAAUUGGGUGCCAUGCCAAGGCCACCUCCUUCACCUGCAAAAAAUCCACCUUGUGGACUCCAUUGUUGACCUUACUGUUUUACCUUUGUUGGGAAAAAGAUAUUAGGUUUUCUCUAUAAAUCACACCACCAACAUAUUUAUUUGGGAUGCUGCUUGGAGAAGAAAUAUGUAUCAAAAUAUAAUAUGAAAUUCUCAGAGAUAUAUACGUCUUUAAUCAUAUGAAAUAUAGGAAUAAUAUAGUUUUUAGAAAAGAAAAGUUGGAUGCGGAGGAGAUAUUUAUCUUAACUUAAGGCAUGGGAUUGGAUUAUAAAUAAAAACUUAAAAGCUAAAUUUUUGUAUUCGGAUUGGUGGUUUUUCCCAUCUAUGUAUUUAAAGUAUACAUCUAGCUAACUGUACAAAAAAAACAGGGAAAAGAAAGUAGUGUAACUUUGUUUGGGUUAAACCAUCAAUAAAAGAGCAAUGAGAUAGAUUUAUAUGUAAAAGUUUUAUAUGAGUGUUACCUAAUUAGCCUUUUCAGAACAACAUGAAACUCUUUUUGGUCAAAUAGAUGAAUUUGUCAUCCAAAACACAUGGUUCAAAACAUGCUUUCUAACCUUUUUUAAACAUUUUAGUUUAGAACUACCUUUUAUAUAUAUAUAUAUAUAUAUAUAUAUAUAUAUAUAUAUAUAUAUAUAUAUAUAUAUAUAUAUAUAUAUACACACACACACUAGACAGAGUUUGAAAUGUUGCUAAAAUCAACAAUAGAGGAAACAAACUUAUAUAAUUUGAUAAUUGGACAUGGAAUACGCAAGGGAAAAAAUUGAAUUGAAGUCGAAUUAGCAUAAUUAACAUAGUUGGACCCUUUAAACGGUUGAAUUCAUCACCCCGUCGUCAAAGAAGAUUGGUAUCUUUAUGGAAAAACCAAUAGCAACUAAUUACGACCUCAUGCUUAUUAAUUCAUAUAUUUUAACGUCACGACUACGCUAUUUUACUCAUUUGAUUAUUGACUUCUGAAACUAAUUGUACCAUAUGACACCUCGCCCUUACUAGACGGACGGAAACUAUGGCCAGACAGACAGAAACUGUCAGACAAUCCUACAACCAUUCACACCACUGUUAGUCAUGCCUUGAUCAUAGGGUAACGGUUCGCCCACCAGACUUCACCCCCUGACUCCUUAGAACUUAAGGACGCAGAGGUACAAAUCUAUAGAACAGAUCCUAUCAGGUAAAGUCAUUCGGACAAAGUAUGUCACCGAACAAACGAAGCACCCGGAUAGGUCGUUCGGCAAUUGUCGAGAUCCUUGGGCUUCUCCGCAUUCCAUAAAAUAUUACCGACUGACGAAGGUUGCCCGGUUGAGGAAUGAUUCGAAGCAUCAGGGUAAGAUUAAAAUAAUAAACCUAAUUAAUGAAAUUGAGCCAAUAUACGGCCGAAAUUAGGGUUUUGCUAAUCACGGCCCACGCCAAAAACUAUAGAUAGAAGUCAAAGGUAAGAGGUAGUUGGGUUACAUUGAUUGUACAUUUACUCUGAAUUUCCACUUUCUCUUUCUAUCUCUAUCACUAAACUAAGUACUAACUUGAGCGUCGGAACACCUUUGACAGGUACCGGACUGACUGUUACCGGAAGAGUGUUGGAGGAUCGAAGGAUCAGGACAGGAUAACUCAGGAAGUGAAACCAGACGACUAUGAGGGAAAUUGUAUAGGUGUUGGAGUCAGACCAACCGUACAACCGAAACACUAAUAUUAAGAGCUCUGAUUUUCUUUUUUCUUCAUCAAUCCUGGUCUUCACUUGACAAAAUUCUCGGAGUCAUCCCCUGUUACAUUUUCUCAAUCAAAUUUUAGUAUGAAAUUUGGUCUUAGGUACAAUGUAUUGGGGUGGCUAGAAGAGCCUUUUUGUGUUAUUGCCUAAAUACCUUAUUGCUUUUAUAGCUUUAGGCGACUAGUGGUGGCAUGUCUUCCUUCCAUUAUUAUUAUUAUUAAUAUUAUGUUGCAUAAUAUAUAUAGUGAAGAAGACCUACCACUUCCUCAUUCAUAUCAUCUAUUAUUGGAAGUUUCACCGAAAGCUCAACCCAUUAUAAAGUGCCUAAUUACGAACAAAGCAUCACGCAAAUCUGGUUUCAGCCUUCAAAGUAAACUUGAAUAUGGCUGGGAUCAGAGUUUCUUCUAAUUUUGUAUGUUUCCUUGUUCUGUUAGCAAUGGCAUUUUCUUUCUUUGCACAGCUUACUUCAGUUAGUGCAGGUUUGUGUACCUACCUCUUUCAAAUAUGCAAAGACGUGAAUAACAUGAGUUUAGAAUUGUAAGAUCAUUAUCACUGUCAUUAGUGUUUGGUAGAUGAUGAUGAUGAUGAAUUAAUUAGUGCAUGAAAGUGUUUAGCACGUAAAGUAAAAGUACAUGUUGUUGCAGGUAGAAGCAUAUUAGGUAUCUUGAAAAGUUUAUAANCAGGUUUGUGUAGCUACUACCUCUUUAAAAUAUGCAAACACAUAUGAACAACAUGUGUUUAGAAUUGUAAGAUCAUUAUCACUGUCAUUAGUGUUUGGUAGAUGAUGAUGAUGAUGAAUUAAUUAGUGCAUGAAAGUGUUUAGCACGUAAAGUAAAAGUACAUGUUGUUGCAGGUAGAAGCAUAUUAGGUAUCUUGAAAAGUUUAUAAUUAACGUGAUAGCUGUGAUCUUGAUUUGCAGAUCCGAAAGUGAGAAAAUUGGGUGUGAUGCCAAGUCCACCUCCUUCACCUGCGCGUAAUCCAUCAUGGCAUACUCGACCUCCUCGUCUUCCUCCUCCAUCCAUUUAAAUUUUCAUUUUCUGCUUAUAUCUUGUCAGAGGGUUCUGACAUUCUUUUUCUUCUGGUGUUUAGUCUAUGUUUUGCAAUAAGCCAGGUUUCAGGCACCUUUUGUUGGUUUUGUAUUGUUUUCUGGUGUACGUUGUUGACUAUAGUUUUUUACUGUUUGGUUUGUGUGUUGCACCCUUUAAUAUAUAAUUAUCUUCUUUGUUGGGAAAAAUAUAUUAGGUUUUCUCUAUAAAUCUCACCACCAACAUAUUUAUUUGGGAGACUGCUUGGAGAACAAAUAUGUAUAAAAAUAUAAUAUGAAAUUCUCAGAGAUAGAAGAAUGAGAAGCUGAACAAAAUCAUUCAAAAGAUGUACAAAUUGGACGAAAGACCGAGUAAAACCCAUCUUCGUUUUUGGAAUCAUUAAAUCCAACUUUUGCCCAUAACAUUAUGAUAAUCUGAGGGUUCUGUAUCUCAUAAUCAAGCUCGAAUGCGAACAUACUCUCAGCAUGUUCAGCUAAGGGAAUCACAACAAGACAAUGACAUUGUUGCGGAAGCCUCACUCCGAGUUUGUCCAGUCUCAUGUGUUUCAAAACGGCUCUUCACUCUUCUUUGGCUCUUCAAUUUUAUCUUUUUAUUUAGUAAAAUUAGAAGCAACCAUGCAUGAAAUUAAGUUAGAGGAAAACCUUUAAGCAACCAUGCACGAAAUUAAACUAUUGUCUAUGGUAAAAUUCUAAAUUUUUGUAGUGGUUUCAACUAUGAUUUUUUUUUUUUAACUGAACUUGAUUAUAUGAAAAUCACAAUAUCUUUGUACUUUUUUUCUAAACUUUCUACCUAUCUUUUUAUAUCUUUUACUCUAAUCUUCAUAUCUUUUGAAGAUUAAGCACAGUAGGAAUGUUCAUAAUAAAAAAAUUUAUGCGUUUAACUCCUUUUUUUGUCUAUUUUGAGUUGUUUUACUCUUUAAAUUGCAUGUAGGUUGUAUGGCUAUUGCAUGUGAUUCAAAGACACUCUAAGUAGAUGUCUAUUGUUUUGUGAUAACUGUAAUAAAUUUAGAUUUCUAAUUGAGAUUUUAAUCUUUAAUUAACACUACCACCAACGUACAUACUUUGGUUAUAUAUAAUCAUCUCUGCAACGUUCCAACGCUUGUCCCACAUAACCGUUAUUUUAAAUCCCAACAGAAUAAUAUUUUAGUUAAGUGGCUCGUCCACCUGCACCAUUUUUUUUUCAACUUUAUUAACAAAACGUGUUCCCUUUAUUAUCUUUAUUGACCUAGUUUUGUAUGGGAAAUUUCGUUGAAAAAGUUCAAAAGAAAAGCAAAAUUUAGGUUUGGUGACUCUGGAGGAGUUGUAUAUUAAUUAGGUUUGGGUUUGAGCAUUGAACACAGACAAACUGGGGAUGGCAAGGACCACUCUUUCUUCUCUGUCUUUAUCUCUUUGUAUUCUCCUCAUAAUCACCUUCACUUUCUUCAUAUAACCAACUCCAGUAAGAGCAGGUUUGUCUCUGUCAUUCAAUCAUCGCAUUAAUUUAGUGUAAUGAUUAAGUUUGGUUGUAGAUAUGCAUAUUGAGAUUAUGAGAAGUUGUUUAAAUUUGUAGAUUUGAAGAUGAGAAAGUUGGGUGUACACCCAAGACCACCUCCUCCACCCAAGCGGGCAUUCCAAUUCAAACCACCAAUACAUAAACCUCGGCCGCCGCCUCCAUUUCACAAACCAUAAGAUCUUCAAUUAUUAUGUUUCCCUUCAGCUACUUUCUUUCUCAUCAUUUUCACUGCUUUUAUUUUAUACCAUUGAGUUUAAUGUAUAAUAUAAAUAACAUUAGUAAGUCAAAGUUUCACUCCAAACAUGAAUGUAUGUGCAGGUUGGACUCAAAAGAGGAAAGACACUAUAUAUUUUGUUUUUUAGUUGUUAUUUUGUUUAUAUAUAGGUUUACAGCAUUAGGUUUUGUUUGUACUAGGCAUAUUGAAUGCAAAAACGUGGUAAUGUACCUUUUGUUGGUUUUCGAUUGUUUUGUUGUUAAUGUACAUUGUUGUCAUAGCUUUUUUAUUGAUGGGUUUGUGUAGUUGCACCCCUUUAGUAUAUAAUUAUCUUCUUUAUGGGGAUAAUCUGCAUAUGGUUUUUGUAUCUCUUGGACCACAAAUCCUUGGUGCGUAAAUGUAAGAUGGAUUUCAUUUUAUUAAUAUAAUCAUGUUGCUUGUAAUAAAAAGAAUUACACUAGUUAUAACUUCAAUUAAGAUAAAGAGAAAAAGAGAGAGAGAGAUGGUGUCUAACUUUGUAAUAGAACACUAAAAAAUUUGCCAUACACUAACUUUGUAAUUGUUGGAAGUCCCACAUCGACUAGACAUAAGGUCAAUUUAUAAUAUAUAAGUGAGGUGCAAACCUCAUCUUACAAAUUGAUUUUGUGAGGUUGAGUUAGACUUAAACUCACUUUCUAACAUGGUAUCAUACCUAACUAAACUUGUGAACUUUUAAAAAAAAUCUACAUCAUUUUGAUAAAUAAACUAUAAUAUGAUAUUAACAUAAAUAUUUUUAUUUAUUAAAAAAGUUAAAAUCACGAUUCGAAUUGAUUAAGUCGUCUUUAAUCUUGUAGUGAAAAUCUAUACGUUUUAUAUAAUUUAAAGUUAAAUUUAAAUAUAUUUUUAUACUCCUUUACCUUUUAAAAAAAUUAACCUUUUUGAAUAAUAGUGAUAGAGCUAAAUUACCCAACUUUACUAAUAUUAUAUUUUGACUAUUACUAUAUUUUAUUGAAGUCAAUUUGUAGUGACAGAUUUGAACAUUAAGGGGAUGCCUAGAAUUUUUUCUUUUUUUUCUUCCCAUACCUUUUUAUGUUAGUUCUUAAUCAAUGGAAAUAUACAUUUGUGGUGCAUAUAUAAAAGUCUAAAUACCUUAUAACUUUUCUAUCUUUAGGCGACAAUGUAUUCCAUUAUCAUUACUAUAAUAAUCCUAUGUUGCCUUAUAUUCUGAAGAACACCUACCACUUCAUCAUUAGCAGUUGUCCUUAUCAUCUAUUGGAAAUUUCACCCAAAGCUCGAAUAACUAUAAUUAAAUAUGCAUUAUAAAUUGCGUGAUUACGAAUUCCUGAAAUAUUACAACAAAUCAUAAGGGCUUCAAGUUUUCUUUUAUUCUCAUUUUGUUUAUCAAUAUUUACUGUAUUAGGUUUUAUGUUAUAAAUAUGACUGUGUAAGACUAAGAAAAGAUUUAACUUGGAUGUUAUGACAAUUAUAGAUUAUAAGGAAAUUAAACCCUUUUUAUUAUUGAUUUUAUUAUAAGGAAUUGGAUAAUUAUUCAUAAUAAUUUUGUGCAUUCCUUCUUUCAAUAAUUGAAAUAAUUACUAAAUAUGAGUAUGUAUUUACUUUUUACAUUAAUAAAAAAUUAAAAAUAUAUUAUAAGAUUAGAUAUUAUACUGCUUAUAAAAGUACACAUAGUUAUUAUUUCAAAAUAAUUAUAAAAUAAAUAUUUAUAUUAAAUUUUAUAAUAUUUUAAUUACAAUGUACUUGAUGAUAAAUAUGAUUUACUAUAGGUAGAUCUUUUAGAAAUAAAAAUAAUUAACAUAAAGGAUCAUAUGAGAACCUAAAACAUACUCUAAAAGUUGUAUUGUUUUUUUAAAAGAGAAUAUUAUAAUAUUUUAAUGAUAAAAUGUUUUAACUAUAAAAUUUUAACUGAAGUUCAUUUUAUGUAAACCACCAUUUCUUUAUAUUUUUUUUUCUAAAUUUUCUCAUUAUUUUUUAUAAUUUUUUAUUCUAAUCUUUAUCAUUUUGAAGAUUAAGUACCGUAGAAGUGUUUUUAAAGAGUUUUACACAUUUAACCAAUCAAAGUAUAUUCCUUCUUUGUUCCUUUUGUGAUAUUUUGUUCUUUGGAUUGCAUAUAGAUUGUAUAACUAUUGCAUGUUAUUCAAAGGUACUCAAAAUGAAGCUCUAUUGUUAUGUGAUACUGUUUUCUUUACAUUUUUAAUUGGGGAUUUAAUAGUUUAGUUAGAUUAUUUUGUGAGAAAAGAAACUUUAAUUAGGGUUUUAAUAGUUUAGUUAGAUCAUUUUUGUAAGAAAAGAAACUCUAAGAAGCAUAUGUGAAGAAAAAAAUAUCAAUUAAAUUAAGAUAAGUAUAGUUAACCUUAAUCUCUACAUAUUUGAGUUAUGUUGUUUGAAUUAUUAGGUAUUUUAAAUCCCAACUCAAUAAUAUUUUAGCUAAGUGGCUCUCCCACCAGCACCAUUUUUUUUCAACUUUAUUGACAACUGAUCAUUAUCUUUAUCUGUGUCUUUCCUUUCCAAUAAUUUUGGAUGAUGACAACUCAUCCAUUCUUAUUAUCGAGAGUGCAGGGCAUUUCAUUAUUGUGGUCGAAAAUUUAAACGGUGCAUGGUGUUCUUAUGUAACAUGAGGUGUGUCAAGUAUCGAAUUUAGAUAACAUAGAAAAGACUUCGAAUGAAGAAACUCAGAUUUUAUAACAUUUUGUUGGAUUCAAAUAUUGAUAUUAGAAAGGACAUCAAACUUCAAAUUAUCAAUGUAUGUAAGAUUAUUAGCUUGCAAGUCCAAUUAAAAUCUUCCUUAUCAGUAAUUUUAUUGCAAAAACGUUUGUGAAUAAAUUCGAAUGUUAUAAUCUAUAAAUAAAUUUGUAUUUAAUUAUUUAGAAAUUUAUAUAUAAGAAACUUUUGUUACUAUCAUUUUAUUUACAAACUUUUAUUUAUAAGAAAUCUUUAUAUACAGAUUUUGUGACUUAUCUAUAACUUUUUUUUUUUUUUGAAAGGAAUGCUUUUUUUUUUCUUUUAUAGUGAUAGCUUAAUAACAUUACCUAGCACUUUCCUUUUAUAAUAGCUUUUUAAGAUUGGUCACUUACACAAUUCUUCAAACAAGAGUUGUCAAAUUAACAUAUUUGUUUUUUCCCUGAAAGCUCAAAAAGAUGGCAAAUUUAGGGUUGGUGACUGUGAAGCAGAAGUUGUAUAUUAAUUGGGUUUUGGUUUCAACAUUAAACACACAGAAACUGAGAUGGCUAGAACCACUCUUUCUUCCCUGUCUUUAUUUUUCUGUAUUCUCCUCAUAAUCACCUUCACUAUCUUCAUGCAACCAAUUUCAGUAAGAACAGGUUUGUCUCUGUUACUAAAUCAUCCAAAACGUAAAUUAAAGAGGAGAUUUAUAAAUAGAUUUUGUAAGAUUAAAUUAGUUUUUAAAUUAAUUUGUAAUCAUAUAAUUAUAAUGACUUUGGAUGUGUAAAAGUAAGAUUUCUGAAUGAUAUGAAUUUGCAGAAUUGAAACUAAGGGGUCCCAAGCCAAGACCACCUCCUUCACCCACGCCUAACUCGCACCCAGUUCCUGGUGAUCCUGGUAAUCCUUCAUCCAACCAUGGCUGAAAUAUUACAACAAAUCGUAAGGGCUUCAAGUUUUCUUUGGAUUCUCAUUUUGGUUAUCAACUUUUACUGUAUUUGGUUUUAUGUUAUAAAUAACACUGUGUAAGACUAAGAAAAGAUUUACCCUGGAUGUUAUGCACAAUUAUAGAUUAUAAGGAAAUUAAAACCUUUUUAUUAUUCAUUUUAUUUUUACUGGGAUUUUAGCAAUCGAUUACCAAAAGUAUGGUUAGGAAUUGGAUAAUUAUUCAUAAUAAUUUUGUGCUUUCCUUCUUUCAGUAAUUGAAAUAAUUACUAAAGUAUGUAUUUACUUUUUACGUUAAUAAAAGCUUAAAAAUAUAUAUUAAAAGAUUAGAUGUUAUAUUGAUUAGUAAUUUAAAUAAUCUUUAUUUUAUAAAUUAGCUUGACAAAUUAUUUUUUAUAAUUUUUUAUUCAUAUUUUAGAAACCAAUAAUCUUUAUUAUUGUAACAUCCCAAAAAUAUGUGUAUAAUUUCAUAUCAAGUGGAAUGCAACAUGCGUAAUAAAGUAAAGCAGUUAAGAGUGAUAGCAGAUGAAGUGUAUAUGAUAUACAGUCAUCCAAAAUAAAAUAAGAUAGUAAAGCUCUACAUAUGGCAUAGAGUCUUUCAAAAGAAGAAAAGAGUAAAGGAAUUAAACUAUACAAAUAAAACUAACAACCUAGACUACUCAGUUGCAGUGUCAGGGACUUCAGCCCUAUCAGCUACGUCUAAAACCUGCUCCAGAGGGGUCUCUGAAAUAUCUGCUCACAUCCAAUUUGGAUGAUCAUUGCAAAAGAAAACAAGCACAAACAAGAACAAGCAGCAAACAAAGCAAGGGUAAGCUAGAAUUCAAUGAAAACAAGUUAAUUACAAUUAAACAUAGUAAAAGAGACAUACAAUACAACAAUCAAGGAAGAACAGUUUAUUUAAUUUAUGGUUUGUUGUUUUAUUAAGUAGUGUUAGACUUAGACUCGUCCGGACCCGGAAUGAAUAUCGAGCUAUGGCGGGUCAUGCACUUGUGGUGGCCUCUACUGCUUUGCAAAGUCAUUGCCAAUGGGUUUCACCCUACCACACACAAGGUUAUCCGUUAUCACUCACCUUGGCCCAUAUACAAUGGAGACAACCAAGACUAGGACCCCUACUGCUCUUCACCACAUGAACUACUCUUCUCUAAGUGAGAUUGAAUAGUCAUUAGAGCUUUAAGGGCAACCCCCAAGACUGAGCUACCUAUANNNNNNNNNNNNNNNNNNNNNNNNNNNNNNNNNNNNNNNNNNNNNNNNNNNNNNNNNNNNNNNNNNNNNNNNNNNNNNNNNNNNNNNNNNNNNNNNNNNNNNNNNNNNNNNNNNNNNNNNNNNNNNNNNNNNNNNNNNNNNNNNNNNNNNNNNNNNNNNNNNNNNNNNNNNNNNNNNNNNNNNNNNNNNNNNNNNNNNNNNNNNNNNNNNNNNNNNNNNNNNNNNNNNNNNNNNNNNNNNNNNNNNNNNNNNNNNNNNNNNNNNNNNNNNNNNNNNNNNNNNNNNNNNNNNNNNNNNNNNNNNNNNNNNNNNNNNNNNNNNNNNNNNNNNNNNNNNNNNNNNNNNNNNNNNNNNNNNNNNNNNNNNNNNNNNNNNNNNNNNNNNNNNNNNNNNNNNNNNNNNNNNNNNNNNNNNNNNNNNNNNNNNNNNNNNNNNNNNNNNNNNNNNNNNNNNNNNNNNNNNNNNNNNNNNNNNNNNNNNNNNNNNNNNNNNNNNNNNNNNNNNNNNNNNNNNNNNNNNNNNNNNNNNNNNNNNNNNNNNNNNNNNNNNNNNNNNNNNNNNNNNNNNNNNNNNNNNNNNNNNNNNNNNNNNNNNNNNNNNNNNNNNNNNNNNNNNNNNNNNNNNNNNNNNNNNNNNNNNNNNNNNNNNNNNNNNNNNNNNNNNNNNNNNNNNNNNNNNNNNNNNNNNNNNNNNNNNNNNNNNNNNNNNNNNNNNNNNNNNNNNNNNNNNNNNNNNNNNNNNNNNNNNNNNNNNNNNNNNNNNNNNNNNNNNNNNNNNNNNNNNNNNNNNNNNNNNNNNNNNNNNNNNNNNNNNNNNNNNNNNNNNNNNNNNNNNNNNNNNNNNNNNNNNNNNNNNNNNNNNNNNNNNNNNNNNNNNNNNNNNNNNNNNNNNNNNNNNNNNNNNNNNNNNNNNNNNNNNNNNNNNNNNNNNNNNNNNNNNNNNNNNNNNNNNNNNNNNNNNNNNNNNNNNNNNNNNNNNNNNNNNNNNNNNNNNNNNNNNNNNNNNNNNNNNNNNNNNNNNNNNNNNNNNNNNNNNNNNNNNNNNNNNNNNNNNNNNNNNNNNNNNNNNNNNNNNNNNNNNNNNNNNNNNNNNNNNNNNNNNNNNNNNNNNNNNNNNNNNNNNNNNNNNNNNNNNNNNNNNNNNNNNNNNNNNNNNNNNNNNNNNNNNNNNNNNNNNNNNNNNNNNNNNNNNNNNNNNNNNNNNNNNNNNNNNNNNNNNNNNNNNNNNNNNNNNNNNNNNNNNNNNNNNNNNNNNNNNNNNNNNNNNNNNNNNNNNNNNNNNNNNNNNNNNNNNNNNNNNNNNNNNNNNNNNNNNNNNNNNNNNNNNNNNNNNNNNNNNNNNNNNNNNNNNNNNNNNNNNNNNNNNNNNNNNNNNNNNNNNNNNNNNNNNNNNNNNNNNNNNNNNNNNNNNNNNNNNNNNNNNNNNNNNNNNNNNNNNNNNNNNNNNNNNNNNNNNNNNNNNNNNNNNNNNNNNNNNNNNNNNNNNNNNNNNNNNNNNNNNNNNNNNNNNNNNNNNNNNNNNNNNNNNNNNNNNNNNNNNNNNNNNNNNNNNNNNNNNNNNUGUCUUUGAAGCUUAGAUGAACUAGGAAGCUGUUAAUAGAGAGUUUGUUGGUCAGAUUUUUGGAAGCAAAAUGGAGAGAUAUCAGAUUCAAAGAGAAGAGAAAGUUGAAAUGGGUGAAAAUGCUUUUCAGAUAGAGGAAGAGUUAAACUUGAAGUGGUUUUUAUUUUGUAAAAAAAUUGUUCAAUCCUUCAUUUGCUGCCACGUGUGAACCCCAACCCCUUUCUUUUCUAAUUAACAUUUUCAGGUUAUUACAUUUAUUAUAAAUUAGUCUGACAAAUUAUUUUUUAUUUGUAAAAGUAAUUACUAUUUAAAAAUAAAAUUGUAGUGACGUCGCAAUCCAUAUUAACACAGUGUAUUCCAAAAAGUUAAAAAAGAAGACUUUUUUUUUUUAUGUACUUCCAAAAAUACCAAAAUAAUUCAAUCACAUAAAAUACCACAAUUAACUAUUAUCAGUAAUGAAAAUAGAAAGGGGGUUUAGGGGAAAAUAUAUCAUCGACAAAGUUAAUAAAACAAGAAACAAAACAUAUAGGCGAAAGUAAUCCAAAAAGUUAAAGCCGAUGUUAGUGUUUAGAGAACAACUAAAGUAGAUUUCGACCCUAAUAAUAGCCUGCAAAAUAAAAUUUAUACAUAGACUGGCCCGUUACAAAUAAAUGUAUUUCUUGAAAAAUAAAUUUUUACGAGAAAUGCAUUCAAAUAAGACAAAAAAAAUAAAUUAUAUUUUUACUCUAAUUAUUUUUAGUUUAUUUUGGUUCACUACUUCUGUCUUAAUUAGGAAAUUUUUGAAAGUUUCUUUUUAUUGAAAAAAAUUAUUUACAAAAAAAUAGACUGGUUCACCAAUCAGUCAUGAAAUGAUCAUAUAUAUACUAAAUCUAUGAUGCUUCCAGUAAAAUUAAAAUUGAUAAUCUCAGACUUAGCUAUGAUUUUUUCUUUUAUAAAUUUGAAAACAUAUUAUUAAUUAAAAUUAAGAACUUAAAUGAAAAAUAGAAAAUAUUUUGAAAAUAUCAAUUUAUUUGUUCUUAAGUUAACAUUUAAGUAUUUACUUCUAGGAUUCUUAUUAGGAAUUUUCACCCUGCUUUUGAUUUAAUUUAAUGGACAAAGAUUAAUUUUUGAUUAGAUGCUUAAAUUAAAAGAAAACUACAAAUAAAGAUAGAAAUUAACUUUUUUAAGUUGUUCUGAAAAUAGUUUCAUCUUUUCUCUUUUUUAUAUGUAACUCUACUUUUAAUGAUAAUACUUUUUAUAAUGUUUCCCUUAUAAAAAUAUAGAGUCGUGUAUUAAUUAUUGUCUAAUUUUUUGUUAAUUACUAUGGAUGUAUAAUAGGUUUGAAAGAGACUUUUAUACUGGGAAUUAAAGUGUUUAUAACCAAAACUUGUGUACACGACUGUUAUUACGAUGACGAGGAAGUGCGAUAUCCCUGUAUUAAUUAUGUUAAUUAAGUGAGAUAAAAAAUUAUAAAAAGAAGUUAUUCAAGUUUAAAGAUUUCAAGAUGAACUAUUUUUUAUAUAUAUGCUAAUAGAGAAAUUAACGACCUAUCUCAUUAAUAUAUUAUCUGAAUAUUUUAUAUGAUUUAUAUUAUGCAUGCAAUGAAUAUUAUAUCUCAAAAGUUAAACUAAAUUAACUCCUUAAGUCAUGAAAUUUGAGGUUCGAUUUAAACAAAUGAUUUCUCAAACUAUAUAUCAAAAUAUAAUUUUUGUUUCUUAGAGUUUGGUUCAACUAAUAAAUUUAAAGCUAUUGUUUAGAGAUAUUGGAUUAUUUUUUAUCCAAAACAAAUUUAGAAAAUGUUUUCAAUUAAAACCAAUAAUCAAAUAAUAAAUUAUCAAAUCAAUUUAGCAUUAGGAAGAAAAAUAUCAUAACAUUAAACAACAUUUUACAGACAUAAACAUAAGUAGGAUUGCAUAAGAAUUUAAUGAAUUUCAUCAAUUCCAACAUUAAGGAAUGUGAGGAAAUGUAUGUGCAGUGUAAUCAAUUGAACAUAUGGACUCAUAGGAAUAAUAUAUUUUUUGGUCAAAUAGAUGAAUAUCUGAUCUAAUCAUGGUUCAAAAGAUUUCUUUUUAACCUUUUUCAAACAUUGUAAUUUAAAACUAUCUUUUGUAGAUAUGAUCUGACAAAUAACAAUUAAGAUGCUCAUACUCUUAUUUGGAUCAUACUAAAAAAUUUCUUUUAAAUCAAACUUGACAUUCCUAAAGAAGAUACUAUUUCUCUAAUUCCCUUCCAUAAAUUCCACACGAAAGCAAUCCAAGUCUCCUCCAUAGCAUAUUCCCUUUAUGUUAUUACUCGGUCAUUCGUGUUGUUAUAUGAGGAUUUCCAAGACUACCAAGUUAUUGGUUUGAAUUAGGUCUUAGGUACAAUGUAUAAGGGUGGCUAGAAGAGCCUUUUUGUGUUAUUGCCUAAAUACCUUAUUAAUAUUAUGUUGAAUAAUAUAGUGAAGAACACCUACCACUUCCUCAUUCAUAUCAUCUAUUGGAAGUUUCACCGAAAGCUUACCCCAUUAUAAAGUGUCUGAUUACGAACAAGCAUCACACAAAUCUGGUUUCAGCCUUCAAAAUACACUGGAAUAUGGCUUGGAUCAGAGUUUCUUCUAAGUUUGUAUCUUUCCUUGUUCUGUUAGCAAUGGCAUUUUCUUUCUUGCACAACUUACUUCAGUUAGGGCAGGUUUAAAGAUGAAGGUUACUUAAACUUUAAGCUUGCUUCCACUCCUUGUGACUAUCGUACAAAGCUCAGCACAAAUUAUGGCCAACCUCUAAAUGAUGCAGCUUCAUCUUCUUAUAGACGAUUGAUUGGUAGAUUAUUAUAUCUCACCAACACUAAACCAAAUAUUUCAUUUGUCGUACAACAACUAAGUCAAUUUCUCCCAGCAAUAACAUCAUUCAGUUGAAAGGCUUCAGCGAUUCUGAUUGAGCAGGCUACAUUGAUACCAGACGAAGUAUCACUGGUUACUCUAUAUAUCUUGACUCUUCACUUAUUUCAUGGAAAUCGCAGAAACAAGUCACUGUAUCCAAAAGUUCCUCAGAAGUGAAUAUAGAGCUCUUGUCACAGCUACUUGCGAAAUUUAAUGGUUAACUUUUCUUCUAUAGGAUCUUCACGUAACUUUUCAACAACCAGCAGUCUUGUUUUGUGACAACAAAUCUGCUCUUCAUAUUGUUGCAAAAUCCAGUUUUUCAUGAAUGCACGAAACAUAUUGAAAUAGAUUGUCAUAUUGUAAGGGAAAAACUUUCUUCUGGCUUACUUAAACUACUCUCGAUUCCCUCUGCAUGCCUGUAGCUGAUAUCUACACCAAAGGACUUUCUCCAAUAGCCUUCAAAUUUCUGUUUUCCAUGUUGGGAAUGAUUGACAUUCAUUUUCCAGGGGGCUGUGAUAAUGACAUAUUUUACCAUGAUUUCAGUGAUGAAUCAAGAGAAAAUGUCAACCCUUUCUUAACUUUUUACCUUGUAAAUCCUAGUUUUCUUUUAGUUUAUUAAGUGGUUGCACCCCAAGNUUUAAUGAGAUAUUUUGUUUACUAAUCCUUGCUUUCAUGUGCUUAAUGGAAUUGGAAGAAGUCUAUGCAUCAAAUGAAGGCAUUGGAAACCAAGAAAAGCAAGAAGAGCAACAAAAAUGAAGAACUAGAAAUCUGUUGAAAUCAGGCUCGAGCCCCCCUGGCCUAAGGGGGCUUGAGUGCCAGUGCACCAAUACCUCAGUUUGACUGUCGUGCGCCUGAGCGCCCCAUUUUUGGGGGGCUUGAGCGCCAACUUUGUUGACAUGGCAGAUUUGCCUUAUUUCACUUGGAUGCACGAAGAGCUUUGGAUCUUUUGCCACCCAAACGCGUUUUCUCUCUGUUGGAGCUCUUGGAGGCGAGCUAGGAGCUGUGGGAACAGUCCUUCUUCAUCCUUGGGUUCUCUUCUUUCUUCCAUUUCCACCAUUGUUGUAAGCUUGAGCUCUCCAUUCAUGGAUGGCUAGUUUCAUUAUUGUUGGGGGAUUGUUGUAGCCACUGAACUCUUAUGUAAAUCACUUUGUUUUGAAUGAAUAUAUGCCUUUUUCAUUGAUUGUUAGUGUUUAACUCCUUCUCUUAAUGCUUGNUGUGAAGUAGCUACCCAUGACUUGAUUUUAGGGUUUGCUUAAUAUUGGUAAAUGUUGAGUAAAUCCGGACUUGGGUUAAACACCUAAAGGAAAUAGUGUCUAGGGAUAGAACUAGGACCUUUGGUUGUCUUAAAUCUCAUUUCUUAAUGCGGAAGAACUUGUUAGGUUGCCAAGGGAUUGGGAUUUAAUAAGUGAAUCUAGGCUCUUUCUACCAAGGGAUUGGAGUUUGAGUAGUUUAGUAGAUUGACAUUGACAUAUUAAUGAAGAGGAAGUGAUUUUAUUUGCAUAAGAGUGAAGUCGGUGAAAGCAUACCCCCAACAAUACCAUUCCAUCUCAUUUUUAAUCUUACCAUUUCCAAGUGUUUGAGUGCUUAAGAUCACUUUUAUCAUUUAUGUUUUAUAGUUACUUUAAUUACGCAAAAACUCAUAUAAAAGGAAAUCAUUCUUUAGCCUAAGUUAGUGAGUUAAUUAUACAAUAGUAAAGUGUUAACCGAGUCUCUAAGGAAACGAUACCCGGUCUUACCGGUUUUACUACUUGAACGAUUUGGUACAUUUGCUAAAGUCACAACAGGUUGUUAGGAUUUAUCUGUUAAGAUUUAAUAUCUUGUUAGGAUUUAUUUAAUAUCUGUUAUGAUUUAAUAUCUUGUUAGGUUUUAAGAUCUUGUUUGUUAUUAUUUUUGUUUGUUAUUAUUUUGAGUAUAUUGCGGAUAGAUUAGAUAGAGUUAUAACUAUUUUUGUUGUAAUCUUGAUGUAUAAAUAUUUACAUCUGCAUUAUGCAGAAUUCAGAUAAUACGCAGACUAUUUUUGCUUCUCUGUUUUUCCUCUUAUAUAUUGCAAUCUCAAUAUUUGGUUUGAAUGAUGAUUCUCAUUAUUUAAGAAAACAACCAAAUAACAAAACAAAUCCUAAAUGCCAAAUAAAGUAUUUAAAAAAAAUUCAAACUUUCCAACAAUAAAGCACAUACAAGACGAAAUUUUGAUAAAAAACUUCGAAAAACAUUCAACUUUACCAAGACAAAACCUAAAUGCCCAAAACAUUUUAUAAAAAAUUAAAUCCAUCGAACAAAAGCUAACCAAUAGCGAAAUAAAUGGAAAAAGGCUUCAAAAACUAACCUCCAAUGGCAUUUUCUAGCUUGUGGUGACGGUAAACAGCGGAACGGUUGCAGUGAACAGUGUGUCUCCGACGCACUCCGAACUCCUUCAACGACGACGACGGUGACUGUUGGGUUAGUGCGACGGAGGAAGAAGACGAAAAUACUCCUAGACAAGAGAAAAAAUGUUCGCGAAACUGUCUUUCUCUAUUUUUGAAAACCACCAAAUGAACCUGCGAGAAACGAAAAUGAAAACCAUGUACUGCCUUAUAUUUUCACGUCAUUUUCUCAUUUUAAAAGAAUUUCCACUCGGCCCAAUCCUGUGACAUGUGUUUAAUGUUAAAAGUUUGUCAUUUGAUGGUAUCAAAGUAUUAUUAUCCUUAAUUUUUAAAUAAAAUUAAAGAUCCUAUACCCUAAUUUCAACCGUUCACAACCAUAAAACAUGUAAGAGCAAGGAAUUAUCUUCCCACACAAAUUCUUGAAGCCCACACAGUUCCACAUCUUUUAACCUCGAAACUCCUAAAGUCAUAACGCACAAAACAUUAAAACAUGAUCUCAGCAGAAAGUUGGAAACACUAACAUGCAGGGAAUCCACUAGAACAAAAAUGGACUGCAUGCAACACAAAAAAAGCAAAAACUGAAAAAGGCAUAUUAUUUAUUUUAUUUGGGAUUUUAAACUGUGGGUCUUGUAGAGUUCUUUCACAAUGACUCUAAUGUCUACCUCUGUUUGAAGAGAAGAUAAGAUUUGGGUGAGAUAUUGAGGAGAGAAGGGAUGAAAAGGUGAAAAAGAAAAGGCUAUUUGAAUGAGUUUUAUUUUUUUUUCUCUUCUGAGAUUGCAUAUUUUGUUUUCAAAAAAACAAUGAAGUUUUACUUUAAGGUUUGGAAUUUAAAAUAUGUAAACAAAAAAUGUGAUUAAAAAGAAAUUCUAUUUAAAAUAUAUAAUCAAUUUUUUUUAACAAAAGCUAGUUAUUAAAAAACCUAUAGAUAAAAUCGAAAACCAUUUUUAGCGUAUUUCUUUAUAUAAUUUUUUUAUUCUCUUAAUUUAUGAAAAAUCAUAAAAUUGUGUAAGUUUUAGCCCUUCAUAAUGAACUUCAUUCAUUAUUUAUAGAUUUGAAUAAAUUUUAACUAAUAAUUAAAAUUUAUUAACAAAAUAUAUCGAAUUUAAAAAAUUCUGAAGUACGAUUUCGUUAUAUAAAAUUGGCUUAUUUCUAAGUUUUGUCUCCAUUUUAUAAAUUUUUCAAUUUUAGAGUCUUUAAAUUUACAACAGAUUAAUUUUAUUAGAUUCUUAAAAAAUGUUGAUAAAUAAUUCAUAUUAUAAUAUGAUGAUGCAGAAGUUAAAAAGAAAAGCAAGUUAUUUUUUAAGUUCAUUUUUGCUACCAAAAACAUGUUCCCUUUAUUAUCUUUAUUGACCUAGUUUUUCUAUGGAAAUUUUCACUGAAAGCACAAAAAGACGCGAAAUUUAGGUUUGGUGAAUGUGAAGCAGAAGUUGUAUAUUGAUGGGGAUGGCUAGAAUCACUCUUUCUUCUAUGUCUUUAUCUUUUCUCAAUAUUCUCAUAAUCACCUUCACUUUCUUCAUCCAACCAAUUCCAGUCACUGCAGGUUUGUCUCUCUCAUUCCAUCAUUCAGAACUUUACGAAUAAUAUUUAAAUAGUAGAUACCUCGUAAAUAAAAAUGAGAUAAUUUUAUAUUAUGAUUUUCUUAGGUUGAAUUCCUGAAAUAUUACAACAAAUCAUAAGGGCUUCAAGUUUUCUUUUAUUCUCAUUUUGUUUAUCAAUAUUUUACUGUGUUAGGUUUUAUGUUAUAAAUAACACUGUGUAAGACUAAGAAAAGAUUUACCUGGAUGUUAUGGACAAUUAUAGAUUAUAAGAAUUGGAUAAUUAUUCAUAAUAAUAUUGUGCGUUCCUUCUUUCCAUAAUUGAAUGAAUUAAAUGAGUACGUAUUUACUUUUUACGUUAAUAAAAAAUUAAAAUAUAUUAAAAGAUUAUAUAUUAUAAAAUAAAUAUUUUGUUGACUAUUAUAAUAUUUUAAUUACAAUAUAAUUGAUGAUAAAUAUGAUUUACUAUAGGUAGAUCUUUUAGAAAUAAAAAGAAUUAACAUAAAGGAUAUGAGAACCUAAAAUGUAGUCUAAGAGUUGUAUUGUUUUUUUAAUGAUAAAUUGUUUAAACUAUAAAAUUUUAAUUGAAGUUUAUUUUAUGGUGUUAAGAUAUGUUAAAUAUUUUGUUAGUUAUAAUUUAUUUACGCAGAUAUCAUUUCUUUAAUAUAUGAGGAAACAUAGGAUCUAUAAUAUAUGAUACACUAAUCUAUGAAAUAAAUCAUCAGAAUUAUUUUUAAAACCUUUUAAUAUGGUAUCAGAGAAUAUUCUAGUGAUAUUUGUUAUUUGUUAGACAUAUUGUUUCACAUGUUAUGAGGUCGUUAUCGGACCAUCAUUAAUGUCUAGUCUUACGCGCUCAAGAUGUAUAUAUACAUUGAUGUGAAGGGUGUGUUGGAAGUUCCACAUCGACUAGAGAUAAGACCUAUUUAUAAUACAUAUGUGGAUGCAAACUUCUCCUUACAAGCUGGUUUUGUAGGAUUGAGUUACGUUUAAAGUUUACUUUUUAAUAUAUGUAAACCACCAUUUCUUUAGAUUUUUUUUUUAAUCUUUCUCUUUAUCUUCUUAGAUUUUGUUUACUUCAAUCAUUAUCCUUUUGAAGAUUAAGGACUGUAAAAAUGUUCUUAGUAAUGGGUUUUACGCAUUUAACCAAUCAAAGUAUGUUCUUUUGUCCUUUUUUAGAUGUUUUCCUAUUUAGGUUGUAUGUGGGUUGUAUGACUAUUGUAUGUGAUUCAAAGGCAAUCGAAGUGAAGCUCUAUUAUUAUGUGAUAAUUUCUGUUUACAUUUCUAAUUGGGGUUUUAAUAGUUUAGUUAGAUAUUUUGUGAGAAAAGAAACUCUAAUUGGGAUUUUAAUAGUUUAGUUAGAUCAUUCUAUGAGAGAAAAAAUUCUAAGAAGCAUAUGUGAAAAAAAAAUAUCAAUUUAACUAAGAAAAGUAUAAUUAAUCUUAAUCUCUACAUAUUUGAGUUAUAUUGUUUGAAUUAAUUAUUUGAUGUUCCUAGAAAUGUUUUUUUUUUUUUUCAAUUUAAGCAUAGGUUAAUAUGUUGAAAUUGUUGAAUUGGGAAUGUGAAAUUUGGAAUGAAUGAAAAUAAACAAUUUUGUUUGAGGAAUUGGCUGAUAGAGAAACAUUUUCUAUUAUACUAAAUUUGUGUUAACAAGUACGGUAAAAAUGGUCUAUUUAAACAAAUUUCACAAGCAGACUUGUUAAUCUUCAUAACACCAUUAAUUGGGUAUCAUCGAACGCUAGUUAGAAAAGUCAAGUGAGAUAACUCUAAUGAUUGGGUACACCCAAGACCACCUCCUCCACCCUUGCGGGCAACCCAAUUCAAACCACCUUAUCAAACCCCAACUUCACCUUCACCUCCACCUCGCAUUUAAAUGGCAUAAGAUCUUCAAUUAUUAAUCAUCUAUUCUCCUUCAUUCCAACACAUGCAUGUAUGUGCAACUUACAUUCAAAGGAGGAAAGACACUUUUUAUUGUAUAUUUUGGAUGACUUUGAUAAUAAUAUGUUGCUGUAAUUCUUCUUCAUUCCUCCUAGUUCAAACAAAAGUAUAAUUUUUAAUUUGGAAAUACUUGAUAUUACUUAAUUUUAGUAUAAGAUUUAUCCUCUGAACAAUAGGUAUAUCUUUUGUAUUACUGAAUCAAUUAAUUAUUUUUUAUAAAAUAAUAACAAAUAUGAAAUAUAUAAUAUUAUUAAAUAUGUAAUAUCAAAAGAAUCGUAUUCUAUUUUUUAAUAUCAAAUAUUUUAACAAAUGAAUGUCGAGCUAUGGCGGGGUAUGCAUUUGUGGUGGCUUCUACUGUUUUGCAAAGCCAUUGUGAAUAGGUUUCACCCUAUUACACUCACAAGGUUAGUCUGUGUCACGCCUUGGAUCAUAUUGGAAGUACUCAAGACUAAAACCUCCUACUACUCUCACCACAAAUGUCAAUCCUCUCUAUUUAAAAAUGAAUGAUCAUUAGAGUGUUAGGAUAAUUCCCAAGACUAAGUUGUUUGCAUUUAGACUAAUGAUACUUGAACCACACCAAGAAGUUCCACCGUGGAACUCAUUUUACCAACCGUGAAAUCAUUUGAAUCCAUAUGAAACCAUAUACAUAUAACAUUUCAUCAUUUACAUUGCAUACAAACAUAUAUAACAUUUAUUAUACUUCAAAUGAUCAUAAACUACCCAACAAGUCAUCAAAAAUCACAUGAAACCAUUCCAUAUACAUUAAUACACAAGAACAGUUCAAGAAGAACCACUAAACAAUACAAAAUUCCUUUAAACUCAUACUUAGGCAAGGAAAACAACUUUUAAAUCCUCACCAACUGUUCCGGAAGGAUCCAAAACCCCCAAAAUGACAUAAAAAACGUCCAAAACUGAUACCCAAAAUCUCGAAUUUAGUAUUUCCAAAACCUGAAAAAGAAAGCAAGACUGGUGUGAUAGGGUUCAGCGCCCAGAAGCUACCCCUUAACACUAGAGCCACUGCAGUGGUGGCAAUGAGCGCCAGAAAGCUGGCGUUCAGUGCUGAAGCCCCUGGAAUGGUGGCGUUUAGCUCUAAAAAAUUACCUCUAUGUGUCAUAUCAAUUGACAAUAUAUUGUUUUAAUGAACUUUAAUGCACUUGAGACUUGUUCUAAUGAUCAUCAAAUGGAGUUCUUACUCGAUAGAAUUAAUGCAAAAACAUAUUUAGAAUUUAAACAAAAUAUCAUUAGACUUAAAAUUAAGUACAUUAAAUUUAUUUGACAGCUCUAAAAAUACCUAAACUAAAAAACAACACUCUCUAAUAAUCCGUAUAUCAAUUUACCAUAUGCAUAAAUAAAUCUAAAUACAUUUGUUAACAUAAUCCAAUACCUGAGUUUCAUCCCCAUUAUCCUAUUUUCAAUUUCCAACACUUAAAACCUUCAAAAGUGGACUAAAAACUCAUCUUAUGAAGCAAUUAUCACUUCCAUAACAGAUUUGAGUGAUUUUAGUACCUAAACAAUUUUGUUUGAGGAGUUGGCUGAUAAAGAAAUAUUUCCUAUACUGGUUUAGUAUAUACUAAAUUUGUGUUGACGGUAAAACUGGUCUAUUUAAACAAAUUUCACAUGCAGACUUGUUGUUAAUCUUCAUAACACUAUUAAUUGUGUACCAUCGGAUUGCGUGCGUAGCUUUGGGCGACUUUUUUGGAACGUUGUCCCAUCACUGUUAUUUUAAAUUCCAACAGAAUAAUAUUUUAGCUAAGUGGCUCGUCCACCAGCACCAAUUUUUUUCAACUUUAUUCGCAACCAAUCAUUAUCUUUAUCUGUGCCUUUCCUUUCCAAUAAUUUUGGAUGAUGAUACUCAUCCAUUCCUGUUAUCGAUCGAGUGUAGGGCAUUUCAUUAUUGUGGUAGAAAAUUUAAAUGGAACUCAGUAUCAUUCUUAAACAACCUGUCACCUCACUACACUAACAUCAGUAACCAAUUAUCACCUUCACUCAAAUGUCAUUAAACAUGACAUUCAUUAUGCUUGAUAUAUUUAAGUUUAAAACUAUGUUGUACAAAAAUUAAUUUCAACAAGCACUCUCUAGCUUAAUCUAGUUUCUUUCAUUGUGUUGGUAUAGGUUGUAGUUUUUGUUCUAAUUUAAGAACUAUUUUUUUGAAAGUUUAGAAGAAGAUUCCCGAUAGUGAUAAUUUGGUAGAAAGAUAGAGCAAGAUAGAGAGAAAAAGACCUAAAUUAUUUUUUUAUUUGUUUAUGGCAGCCUUUGUAUAGGACAAGUGUCUUAAUAUGGAAUCAUGUAUAUUAAAUAUUGUCUAAUUUUGCAUUAAUUGGUAUAUAUUUAGAACAUGAAUGAAUUUCGAUCAAAUUGUGGAUGGAUGUAUGAUAAGUGUAAAAAAGGAAGAGGUAAUUUGAAAGAAUCUUUUACAUUGGGAGUCUAAUUAUUUGAUUUGAAUGGAUCAUGGUGAAUGAGUGUUAGAAUGUGAUUUAGAUAAUGGUUUAACUUGAAGGGGUAUGGAGAUGGAUGAUGAGCAAAAUGACCAAUUUAUAUCGAUGCAAGAUAAUGCUCUUAUACAACAUGAGGUGUGUCAAAUAUCGAAUUUAGAUAACAUGGAAAAGACUCUAAAUAAGUAACAUUUUGUUGGAUGCAAAUAGGCCAAUGUGUGAAGGGACAUCAAACUCCAAAUUAAUAGUUUGCAAGUCCAAUAACGGAUGCUUAAAUUUUAUUACAGAUAUGUUUGUAAAUAAAUUUGUAUGUAAUUAUUUAUAGAUAAAUUUAUAUAUAAUUAUCUACGAAUUUAUUUGUAAAUAGUGUUUUUUAUGAUCAUUUUACUUACCAAUUUUUAUUUGUAAGAAAUCUGGAAAUUAAAUUUUAUUUUCUGAUUUUUUGACUUAUAAUUUUUUUUUGUUGGAAAUAAUGUUUUUUUUUCUUAUAAUGAUAGAUUAAUAACAUUACCUGAUACUUUCCUUUUAUAAUAGCUUUAUCAUAUUGGUCAUUUACACAAUUCUUCGAACAAGAUUGGUCAUUUGCUUCAUUUACACAAUUCAAGUUCUUUCAAGUAAAUAUAAAUGGAAAUCUUGCAUGUGAUAAAAAAGUAUAUGGAUAGAUAAGAAUAAAAAGGUACAAGAGAUUAAUUUUAUUAGAUUCUUUAAAAAAAGUUGAUAAAUAAUUCAUAUUAUAAUAUGAUGAUGCAAAAGUUAAAAACAAAAGCAAGUUAUUUUUCUGUUUAUUUUUGUUACCAAAACGCGUUACCUUUAUUAUCUUUAUUGACCUAAUUUCUAUAAGAAAUUUCACUGAAAGCUCGAAAAGAUGUAAAAUUUAGGAUUGGUGACUGUGAAGCUGAAGUUGUAUAUUAAUUGGGUUUUGGUUUGAGCAUUAAACACACAGAAACUGAGAUGGCUAGAACCACUCUUUCUUCCCUGUCUUUAUUUUUCUGUAUUCUCCUCAUAAUCACCUUCACUUUCUUCAUGCUACCUAUUCCAGUAAGAGCAGGUUUGUCUCUGUCAUUCAAUCAUCCAAUCCUUUACGAAUAAUAGAUUUUGUAAGAUUAGAUUAGUUUUUAAAUUUAUUUUUAAUCAUAUAAUCAUAAUGACUUUGUAUGUGUAAAAGUAAGAUUUCUGAAAACUGUUAUGAUAUGAAUUUGCAGAUCUGAAAAACAGGGGUCCCAAGCCAAGAUCACCUCCAUCACCCACUAGUAGCUGGCCCGGACAUCCUGGUCAUCCUCCAUCCAACCAUGGCUGAAAUAUUACCACAAAUAGUAAGGGCUUCAAGUUUUCUUGGAUUCUCAUUUUGGUUAUCAACUUUUACUGUAUUAGGUUUUAUGUUAUAAAUAACACUGUGUAAGACCACGAAAGGAUUUACCCGUCCAUGUUAUGGAAUAUUAUAGAUUAUAAGGAAAUUAAAACCUUUUUAUUAUUCAUCUUAAUUUUUACUGGGAUUUUAGCAAACAAUUACUAAAAGUAUGGUUAGGAAUUGUAUAAUUAUUCACAAUAGUUUUGUGCAUUCCUUCUUUCAAUAAUUGAAACAAUUACUAAAUAUGAGUAUGUAUUUACUAUUUACGUUAAUAAAAAAUUAAAAAUAUAUUAGAAGAUUUCAAAAUAAUUAGUUAUAUUAAAUUUUAUAAUAUUUUAAUUACAGAUAAAGGAUUAAUUUUAAAGCUAUUGUUUAGAGAUAUUGGAUUAUUUUGAUCCAAAACAAAUUUAGAAAAUGUUUUCAAUUUGAAAAUCAAGAAUCAAAUAAUAAAUUAUGAAAUCAAUUUAGCAUUACGAAGAAAAAUAUCAUUACAUUAAAAAACAUUACAGAUAUAUACAUAAGUAGGAUUGCAUAAGAAUUUAAUGAAUUACAUCAAUUCCAACAUUAAGGAGUGUGAGGAAUAAUGUAUGUGGAUUGUAAUCAGUGGUACAUAUGAACUCAUAGGAAUAAUAUAUUUUUUAGAAAAGAAAAGUUGGAUGCUGAAAAGAUAUUUACAUUAGAAACCCUUAAGACAUGGGAUUGAAUUACCAAUAAGAACUCAAAAGCUAAAUUCUCUUAUUCGGAUUAAUUUUUUGCACAUCGAUAUGAAUUUAAAGUAUAUAUCUAGCUAGCUAUCUAAAGGGGGAAAAUAGAGUGGUGUAACUUUGUUUGGAUUAUAUCAACAAUAAGAGAGCAAUGAGAUAAAUCUAAGUAAAAGUUUUAUAUGGGUGCUAUCUAGUUAGCUUUUUCAUAACAGCAUGUGACUCUUUUUGGUCAAAUAGAUGAAUCUAUGAUCCAAGACAAAAUCAUGGUUCAAAAGAUUUCUUUUUAACCUUUUUCAAACAUUUGAUUUAAACUAUCUUUUGUAGAUAUGAUUUGACGAAUAACAAUUAAGAUGCUCACACUCUUAUUUGGAUCAUACUAAAAUAUUCUUUUAAAUCAAAUUUGACAUUCCUAAAGAAGAUAUUAUUUCUCUAAUUUCAUAAAUUCCACGUGAAAGCAAUCCACGUCUCCUCCAUAGCAUAUUCCCUUUAUGUUAUUUACUCGGUCAUUCGUGUUGUUCUAUGAGGGUUUCCAAGACUACCAAUCAAUUUUUAGUAUGAAAUUUGGUCUUAGGUACAAAGUAUAAGGAUGGCUAGAAGUCCUUUUUUGUGCUAUUGCCUAAAUACCUUAUUGCUUUUUAUAGCUUUAGGGACAAGUGGUGGCAUGUCUUCCAUUAUUUAUAAUUAAUAUUAUGUUGCAUAAUAUAUAUAGUGAAGAAGACCUACCACUUCCUCAUUCAUAUCAUGUAUUGGAAGUUUCACAGAAAGCUCAACAUGUUAAAUAUGAUGAAAACUAUAUACAUAAUUAAUCCUUUGUUUUAAAUACACAUAUAGAAUUUUCUAUUUAUAAUAGAAAAAAUAUGAGUUAAAUUCAAAAUACAAAUAAAAAUUAAUAACAAAUAAUUAAACACAAAAGAUAAAGAUAAAAAAUAAAUAUAAAAUAAAUAUAAUAUAUCUAACACAACUUAUUAUAAAGUGGCUGAUUACGAACAAGCAUCACAGAAAUCUGGUUUCAGCCUUCAAAAUACUCUGGUAUGGCUUGGAUCAGAGUUUCUUCUAAGUUUGUAUCUUUCCUUGUUCUGUUAGCAAUGGCAUUUUCUUUCUUUGCACAGCUUACUUCAGUUAGUGCAGGUUUGUGUAGCUACUACCUCUUUAAAAUAUGCAAACACAUAUGAACAACAUGUGUUUAGAAUUGUAAGAUCAUUAUCACUGUCAUUAGUGUUUGGUAGAUGAUGAUGAUGAAUUAAUUAGUGCAUGAAAGUGUUUAGCACGUAAAGUAAAAGUACAUGUUGUUGCAGGUAGAAGCAUAUUAGGUAUCUUGAAAAGUUUAUAAUUAACGUGAUAGCUGUGAUCUUGAUUUGCAGAUCCGAAAGUGAGAAAAUUGGGUGUGAUGCCAAGUCCACCUCCUUCACCUGCGCGUAAUCCAUCAUGGCGUACUCUACCUCCUCGUCUUCCUCCUCCAUCCAUUUAAAUUUUCAUUUUCUGCUUAUAUCUUGUCAUUGUUAGUGAAACCAAACUGAGUAUUUGGUCAGUCUUCUUGUGUUUCGUCUGUGUUUUGUAAUAAGCCAGGUUUCAGGCACCUUUUGUUAGUUUUGUAUUGUUUUCUGCAUAAUGUACGUUGUUCAGCAUAGUAUUUUACUGUUUGGUCUGUGUGUUGCACCCCUUUAAUAUAUAAUUAUCUUCUUUGUUGGGAAAAAUAUAUUAGGUUUUCUCUAUAAAUUACACCACCAACAUAUUUAUUUGGGAGACUGCUUGGAGAACAAAUAUGUAUCAAAAUAUAAUAUGAAAUUCUCAGAAAUAGAACGACGAGAAGCGGGAGACAACAUCAUUCAAAAGAUGUACAAAAUGGACGAAAGACCGAGUAAAACCCAUCUUCGUUUUUGGAGUCAUUAAAUCCAACUUUUGCCCAUAACAUUAUGAUAAUCUGCAUAUUAAUUGGUGUUACAAUCUUUUUAAAUGCUUAGUUAAAGGAAAAUCAUUAAAUAAUAAUUCAUUUUAAAGACUAAAAGUAAAUAAUGUUGUUAUCAUUAGUAGUUGUCGUUAUCAUUUAUUUAGUAUACUGGGAUUUAACACAAAUUUCACAUGCAGACUUGUUAAUCUUCAUAACAGCAUUAAUGGGGUAGCAUCAAACACUUAGAAAAGUUAAGUCAGAGAAUAAUAUUUUAGCUAAGUGGGUCGUCCACCAGCACCCUUUUUUAUUUAACUUUAUUAACAACCAAUCAUUAUAUUUAUCUGUGCCUUUCCUUUCCAAUAAUUUUGGAUGAUGACAGUCAUCCAUUCCUAUUAUCGAGAGAGAGUGUAGGGCAUUUCAUUAAUUUAAAUGGAAAUCAGUAUAAUUCUUAAACAACCUUUAAUAUCAGUAACCAAUUAUCACCUUCACUCAAAUGCCAUUAAAAUUAGACUCGUUCUUUUCAUCACUCCAAGAGUAUCAUUCUUAAACAUGACACUCAUUAUGCUGGAGCUAUUUAAGUUUAAAAUUAUGAUGUACAAAAUUUAUUUUAGGUUUGUUUAUGGAAGCCUUUGCAUAGGAUAAAUAUCCUAAUGUAGAGUUAUGUAUUAACUAUUAUCUAAUUUUUCGUAAAUUGAUAUAAAUAUAUAUAACUAUGAGUUCAUGAUAGGUGUCAUAAAGAAAAGUUGUUUUACAUUGAGAGUUAAAGUGUUUAUAAUCAAAAUUUGUAAAAAAGAUUGUUAUUAUCAUAAUGACCAGGAAGUUUGAUGUGCAUGUAUUAAGUGCGAUUCUACAGCAAUUUUGGAGGUAAGAGUUAUGAAGGUUCAUCUCUACAAACAUGAUUUCAAGUCUAAUUAUUUGAUUUGGACGGAUCAUGGUUAAUUUAGGCUAAAAGGGGAUUUAGAUAAUAGUUUAACUUGGAUGGGUGUGAAAAAGGAUGAUGAACAAAAUGACCAAUUUAUGUCAAUGUAAGACAUGGUGCAUGAUGUUCUUACACAAAUGAGGUGUGCCAAAUAUCGAACUAAGAUAACAUGAAAGAACUCUAAAUGAAAAAAACUCAGAUUUUAUAAUAUUUAGUUGGAUGCAAAUAAGUCUAUGUAUAAAGGGAUAUCAAACUCCAAAUUAUCAGUGUCAGAUCAUUAGCUUGUAAGUCCAAUUGAAAUAUUUCUAAGCGAUACUUAAAUUUUAUUGCAAAAAAUUUAUGGAUAAAUUUAUAUGUAAUUACUAUGAAUAAAUCCAUAUAUAAUUAUUUACGAAUUUAUUUGUAAGUAACUAUUGCUAUGACAUUUUACUUACUUGUAAAAAAUUUGUAAAUAAGAUUUUAUUUAUGGAUUUUAUGACUUAUCUAUAAAUUUUGUUUUUGGAGGUAAUGUUCUUUUUUUUUUUUUUUUGCUUAUAGUGAUAGCUUAAUAACAUUACCUGGAACUUUCCUUUUAGAAUAGCUUUUAUGGAUUGGCCAUAAGAAAAAAAAAGUACAAGAUAUUAAUUUUAUUAGAUUCUUUAAAAAAGUUGAUAAAUAAUUCAUAAUAUAAUAUGAUGAUGCAAACGUUAAAAACAAAAGCAAGUUAUUUUUCUGUUUAUUUUUGUUACCAAAACGCGUUACCUUUAUUAUCUUUAUUGACCUAAUUUCUAUAAGAAAUUUCACUGAAAGCUCAAAAAGAUGGCAAAUUUAGGGUUGGUGACUGUGAAGCAGAAGUUGUAUAUUAAUUGGGUUUUGGUUUGAGAAUUAAACACACAAAAACUGAGAUGGCUAGAACCACUCUUUCUUCCCUGUCUUUAUUUUUCUGUAUUCUCCUCAUAAUUACCUUCAGUUUCUUCGUGCAACCAAUUCCAGUAAGAACAGGUUUGUCUCUGUUACUGAAUCAUCCAAAACGUAAAUUAAAGAGGAGAUUUAUAAAUAGAUUUUGUAAGAUUAAAUUAGUUUUUAAAUUUAUUUGGAAUCAUUUUGUAAAAGUAAGAUUUCUGAAAACUGUUAUGAUAUGAAUUUGCAGAACUGAAAAUAAGGGGUCCCAAGCCAAGACCACCUCCUUCACCCACGCCUAACUGGCGCCCAGUUCCUGGUCAUCCUCCAUCCAACCAUGGCUGAAAUAUUACCACAAAUCGUAAGGGCUUCAAGUUUUCUUCGAUUCUCAUUUUUGUUAUCAACUUUUACUGUAUUAGGUUUUAUGUUAUAAAUAACACUGUGUAAGACCACGAAAGGAUUUACCCGUCCAUGUUAUAGAAUAUUAUAGAUUAUAAGGAAAUUAAAACCUUUUUAUUAUUGAUUUUAUUUUUACUGGGAUUUUAGCAAUCGAUUACCAAAAGUAUGGUUAGGAAUUGGAUAAUUAUUCAUAAUAAUUUUGUGCAUUAAUUCCUUCAGUGAUUGAAAUAAUUAUUAAAUAUGAGCACGUAUUUACUUUUUACGUUAAUAAAAGCUUAAAAAUAUAAGAUUAAGGGAAAAUAUCAUCAGACAAAGUUAAUAAAACAAGAAACAAAACAUAUAGGCGAAAGUAAUCCAAAAAGUUAAAGCCGAUGAUAGUGUUUAGGGAACAACUAAAGUAGAUUUCGACCCAAAUAUGCCCAAUGGAAUGCAAAAUAAACUUUAUACGUAGACUGGCUCAUUACAUAUAAAUGUAUUUGUUGAAAAAUAAAUUUUUACGAGAAAUGCAUUUAAAUAAGACAAAUAAAUAAAUAAAAUAUAUUUUUACUCUAAUUAUUUUUAGUUUAUUUUGGUUCACUGCUUCUGUCUUAAUUAGGAAAGUUGUUAAAAUUUCUUUUUAUUGAAAAAAAUUAUUUACAAAAAAUAGACUGGUUCACUAGUCAGUCAUGAAAUGAUGCUUCCACUAAAAUUAAAAUUGAUAAUCUCAGAAUUAGCUAUGCCAUUUUUUUUAUAAAUUUGAAAACAUAUUAUUAAUUAAAAUUAAGAACUUAAAGUAAAAAUGGAAAAUAUUUUGAAACUAUCAAUUUAUUUGUUCUUAAUUUAACAUUUAAAUAUUUACUUCUUAUUAAGAUUUUUCACCCUCCAUUUGAUUUAAUUUAAUGGACAAAGAUUAAUUUCUAAUUAGAUACUUAAAUUAAAUUAAAAGAAAACUACAAAUAAAGAUGGAAAGUAAGUUUUUUAAGUUGCUCUGAAAAUAGUUUCAUCUUUUCUCUUUUCUAUAUGUAACUCUACUUUUAAUGAUAAUUGUAAUAUCCCAAAAUAUGUGUAUAAUUCAUAUCAAGUGGAAUGCAACAUAUUAUAAUAACAGAAAGCAAUUAAGAGUAGUAGCAGAUGAAGUGUAUAUAAUACAGUCAUCCAAAAUAUGAUAUAAGCUCUACAUAUCAGCAUAGAGUCUUUCAAAAGGGAAAAGAGUAAAGAAGACUAAGUUAUACACAAACAAAAGAACUGAGCUACACUACUCUGCAGCAUCAGCAGUAUCAGGAACAUCUGGAACGUCUAGUAGCUGCUCCAGUGGGGCCUCUGAAACUUCUGCUCACAUCCAAUUAGGAUGAUCAUUGCAAAAGAAAACAAGCACAAACAAGACAUACAUCAAACAAAGCAAGGGUAAGCUAGAAUUCAAAAGAAUACAAAUCAAUUUAAAUUAAACAAGGUAAAAGAGACAUACAAGCAAUUGCAAUCAUAGAAGGACAACUUUAAUAGAUUAUGAGUUAUAGUUUUUUUAGGUAGCGUUAGACUUAGACUCGUCCGGACCCGGAAUAAAUAUCGAGCUAUGGCGAGUUAUGCACUUGUGGUGGCCUCUACUGCUUUGCAAAGCCAUUGCCAAUGGGUUUCACCCUACCACACACAAGGUUAGUCCGUUAUCACUCACCUUGGCCCAUAUACAAUGGAGACAACCAAGACUAGGACCCCCUACUGCUCUUCACUACAUGAACUAAUCUUCUCUAAGUGAGAUUGAAUAGUCAUUAGAGCUUUAAGGGAAACCCCCAAGACUGAGCUACCUAUAUUCAUUCCAGAAACUUAACUUAAUAUCACUCAUUCUUGGCCCAUAUAAAAUAGAGACACCCAAGACUGAGCUUCCUAUAUUCAUUCUCAAACUUAAUAUAAUCUCACCGCGAGAUACUACUUAAAUCAUUAUAUCAUAUUACACCACAUGGAACACAAUCAUUCUUUAGUUAUGUCACAAAAACAACUUAUACAUACUCAGACAUUAUAUAUUUUCACAAAACAUCACUUAUUAACACAAUUAUCUUUAUAAUCUUUAAUUACCCAUACUUAAGUAAUUCAAAUAGCUUGGAGACCCUCACCAAUGGCUCCGGAAGAGUCAAAACCCCCCAGAUUGACCUAAAGAACGUCCAGAAAUGAUACCCGGAACCACUAGAACCACUCAAAACUGUCCUGGAUGAUUUCCUGACAACAAUAAUCGAUUAUUGCAUAUAAUAAUCGAUUAUUACAUAUGAUAAUCGAUUAUUACACAUGAUAAUCGAUUAUUUAAGUGAACUUUGAAGAAAAUAUGAUGUUCUGACUAGAAUAAUCGAUUAUCAAGUGAGAUAAUCGAUUAUUCUUAUCAGUAUUUGACAACAACCUUAUUUUAGUGCAUCUNAGACACUUUGAUGAGUUUCAAACAAUCCUAGAUUGAUUUAUAUGAUGAUUUGAACUUGUCUAGAUGAUUAUAGCUAUUCUUAAUCUCAUUCUUUAAUGGUUAGGCAUUGAUUCAUACUCAAAAACUUAGAUUUCAACAACUUAAAGACUCACUCUCAUACCUAACACUUAGAAACUGUUUUGGACCAGUUUAGGGACUCUAACAGGUCCCAAUUUACUUACCUAGACCAUCCCAAUUGACCAAUUUAGCUCCCAACCCCAAUUGUCCAAUUUGACUACCUCACUUCCCUUAGACUAACCUAAAACACCAUAACCAACUUAUCUUUUUGUUUAAUAACUUGUAUAAUAUCAAUCAUAACACUUGAAUACUAAAUUUCAUCAUCACAUAUUACCCAUACCAGUUCCUAAUCAUCCUUUCACAGAUUCACAGUCUCAUAAGUCACACAUUUAUAGGCACAUACUCAACAUACAAUUUCAUCAAAUAUCAAUUCAAACAGGAACACCUUUCAUCUAACAUUUCACACAUGAAUCAUUCAUAAACAUCACUAAAUCUAAUUCAAUGCAUACAAUUAUUUCACAAUUACAAACCAAAAUCCUUGCUUCCCUUACCUCUGUUUCACAGCAUAGUAUGACAGAACCUUGCCCGCUCUCUUGCACCCCAAGAAAAUACUAGGAUUACCUAUAGAUCAUAAAUUGAAGAUGGAAAACAAUUUCUUAAUUUUCAAUUGAGCUAAGAAAUUUGAAGAAGAGAACUGUUAAACACAUGCAAGCAAAACUGUUGCAUGAUCACAGUCCAGAAAAUACAGGGAAAAUAGGGAAAACGCUUACCGGAGGAAAAACACCGAAUUGAUCGGUUGAAUUCGAAGCCUAUAACUCCAGGACUGCUUAGGUGCUUCCAGAUUGUUGAACAAUUGACUUAGUGAGAAAAAAUCCUAGAGAGAUUAGAGAGAGAAUGAAAGGGUUAUGUUUCUAGAGAGAAGAAGAAGAGCACGUUUGAAGAGAAGUAGUGUUCUAUCUGAUAAUGGGUUGAACUUAGAAAGUUUUAAGUUAAAAUUGUUUCACUAAUAAUGACUCAGCCCAUUGUGUUGCCACGAGUCCAACCCCAACUGCUCUCUUUUUCUCAGACUUUACAAUAAUACUUUUUAUAAUGUUUCCUUCAUAAAAAUAUUUUAUAUGAUAUUAUUUCUAUAAUUUCUUACGUUCAAAGUCUCACACAAUUUAGAGUUUAGAUAAAUAGUAAUUUAAAUAUAUUUUAUUUUUUUAAUUUUUGAGGUGUUUAACGAAAGUGUAAUAGAACUUCAAUUUACAAAAUCAACAAUAUUUAUAACGAUGUUAUCUCAAUGAAUUUCGAGAUUCAAAAGUCGAAUACUUAUUAAAAAAAUGAAUGAAAAAAAUUAUUCUAAGACGAAAUUUUGUAUAUUGCUUAGAAUGAUUAAGAGUUUAUAUACACAUAGAUACUUUUAAUGGUGACUUUUUGAAGUGGUACCAAUUAUAAAUAAUUCAUAUUGUAGUAUGAUUAUGCAAAAAUUGAAAACUAGUCAAUUUUUUUCUGUUGAUUUUUCCUACGAAAACGUGUUCCCUUUUUAAUUUUUCUGUAGGAAAUUUCAUCGAAAGCUCAAAGAGAAGCAAAAUUUUGGAUUGGUAACUAUGAAACAGAAGUCAUAUAUUAAAUGGGUUUAGGUUUCUAGAUUGAACACACAUAAAUCGAGGAUGGCCAGAAUCACUAUUUCUUUUAUGUCUUUGUCUUUCAUUAUUCUCCUCAUAACCACCUUCACUUUGUUCAUCCAACCAGUUCCAGUUAAAGCAGGAUUAUCUCCAUCAUUAAAUCAUCCAAUCUACUUGUGUUUUUUAUAUUAUUAUAUUAUCAUUCUCUAAAUAGUAUCAAUAUUCAUUUAAAAAAAGAAUCGUGUUGACUCUUUUUAAUAAAAAAUGAAAACUAUAUUGAAAUGAGAAAAAAAAAAUUCAAACACUACAUUAAAUAAUUUUAACGAAAAUUAGGAUAAAAGAGACCAUUAAAGCAAUAUGAUGAAAAUCUCAUCUCUCAUUAGGCAUCCUAUGUGAUUAUUAUUUUAUAUUAAUUCUUUUUUUUCAAUUAAAAAACUCAUAAUAAUUAUAAGGAUAAUGAUAUUUAGAUAAUAUUUUUUUGACAAUAUUUAAACAUUGAUUACGUGUCAAUCUGUGAUUGGUCAAAAAUUACUCCACAAUCAAUAAUAAUAAUCAUAAACAUUACAUUAUUGUGGAGUAAUUUAAAUCAUAAAUAUUAUUGUGGAGUAAUUUUUGACCAAUCACAGAUUGACAUAUAAUCCAUGUUCAAAUGUUGUCUAAAUAUCAUUAUCCUAGUUAUAAAUGUAUAAUAAUUAAAUUUGAUUGAAAUAUAUGUGUAUAUUAUUGAGAUGAUGAAAGUUGUUUAAAUUUGUAGAUUUGAAGAUGAGAAAGUUGGGUGUUCAAUCAAGCCCACCUCCUCCACCCAGUUUAGGCUCACAAACACAUGUUAGACGACGAGUUAUUCCUUCACCUCCACCUCCGAUUUCCAUGGCAUAAGAUCUUCCAUUAUUAAUCAUCUAUGCUCCUUCAUCUACUUUCUUUCUAUCAUUUCUUUCACUGCUUUAUUUUAUACACUAUCCACUUUAAUGUAUAAUAUAAAUAACAUUAUUAUGUCAAAGUUUCAUUCCAACGUUCAAAAGAGGAAACACACUAUUUAGUUUAUACUUUUCCUACCUUUGAUAAAUUGUACUUCCUCCUCCUUCAAAUAAAACAAUAAUUAUUUAAUUUGAAAAUGCUCAAUAUUAUUUAAUUUUAUUAUAAGGUUUAUUCUCGAUCAUCUCCAUCGAAUAAUAAGUAUACAUGUUGUUCAUACAUGUCUCCAUCGAAUACUAAGUAUACAUGUUGUUGUUCAUACAUGUCUGCUUGAAUAUUAAUUAAUUAAUUAAUUUUUUACAAAAAUAACAAACAUAACAAAUAAAACAUAAUAUUAUCUUAUAUUUAAUAUAAAAAACUGUAUUAUCAUUUUUUUAAUAUCAAAUAUUUUUUUAAAAAAAUUAUAAAUGUAUAAAUUUCAAAUUAAAAUAUCAAAUAACAAUUAGAUAAAAAUGAAAUAAUUAUAAAAUAUUACACAUUAAUAAAAUUUUAUUACCAUCAAAAUAAUUGUUAAUUCUGCUAAUAUUAAUAAAAUAAAGUGUUGAGGUUAAAAAAUAAUUUUGAAAAAUUAUAAAAAAAAAUUCAAGUUUUAAAGUGCUUCAAAUAUUUCUUUUUAAAUUCUAAUAAAAUGUCUAUAUUUUUAUACACUAAUAAAGAAAUUAACAUUUACCUAUCUCAUUAAUAUAUUAUCUGAAUAUUCUCUAUAUGAUUUUUAUUAUGCAAUGAAUAUUAUAUCAAAAGUUAAUCUAAAUUAACUCUUUACAUCAUGAAAUGUUGAGGUUCUAUUUAAACAAAUGAUUUUUCAAACUAUAUAUCAAAAUAUAAUUUUUUUUCCUUGAGUUUGUUUCAACUAAUCAUUUUAAUGAUAUUGUUUAGGGAUAUUGGAUUGUUAUGAUCCAAAACAAAUUUAGGAAAUGUAAAAAGUAUAGGAUGAAGUCAGAAGACAGCUAUUCUAUUUUUUUGGGACAUCGUGUCUUAUGUCUACUAGAAUAUUUAUAUGAUAAUUAAUGAAACAUAUAUUUACUUUUAUGAGAAGUGUUCAGAUGUAAAGAUUGUGACUCUAGGGAUGUUUAAUUAGUUCAAUCCUUCACUUCUUUUUUCUUUUUUCUUUUUUCUUGUAUAAGAGUUGAAACAUCCCAAGAACUUUAUUUAAUAUAAUUCUUCACUUAUAAAAAAAUCAUUGAUAGCAAAAUAAUGACAAAAUGUUUUAAUUUUUUUUAAAUAUUAAUAAAUUAUGGUGAUCAAAUAACUAAAACUAAGAAAAGAAGAAGAAAAAGGUCCUAGUUAUUAAACUACUAUAAUAAAAUAAAUGUUACAAAUUAAAACGUAAAGAAUUUGAAGAUGCACUGUUGAUGCCUUUCCGCAGAGCAGAUUUUUAAAUUUGAAUUAAACUGGAAUUAACAUAAUUGGACCCUUUAAACGGUUGAAUUCAUAACACCGUUGUCAAAGAUUGGUAUCUUCAUGGAAAAACCAAUAGCAACUAAUUCAUAUAUUUUAACGUUACGACUACGCAAUUUUUCUCAUUUGAUUAUUGACUUCUGAAACUAAUAUUAAGAGCUCUGAUUUUCCUUAUCUUCAUCGAUCCUGCUUUUCACUUGAAAAAAUUCUUAAAGUCAUCCCUGUUACAUUUUCUCAAUCAAUUUUAAGUACAAAAUCAAAGAAAAAAAAAUUAGGGUUUUCUAUAAAUUUCUCUGAAUUUCUGAAUCUGAAGCAACAUGUGGAAUAAUAUAAAGUUUCACCGUUGUGAGAGAUGGCUAACAUCUUCAGUCUCUCAUCAAUCUUUGCACGUUUGCUUCUGUUAACGAUAGCCUUUGCUUUGUUUAUGCAGUUGAGUGUUGGUUCAGGUUAGUCUUCGUCGUGAAUCAUGAAAAUGCAUAGAAGAAUAUCAUCACGAUCACUUCCCCCACCUAUAUGCUGUUCAUUUUUUUGGACAAAUUUCCGUAUCAUAAAAACGUAGGAUUUUGAUCAUUCUGGAUAAACGUUUUGAACCGUUGACAUCAUCUUGUUGUUUUAAUUUGCAGAUCUGAAUAUGAGGAAACUGGGUGUAUUGCCAUCACCACCUCCGCCACCACGUCGAAACUCAGCACCAGGGCCUGCAAGAUAAAUUAGGGCUACCAUGACCAAGAAAAUUUUCAUGUUAUUCUUGUUCCAUAAAUAAAUAUUCCCUUAUUUUAGAUAUAAUUGCAAGAUAUAUAUUUUAUUUAUAUUUUCGACUUAAUAAAAGAUAUAUAUAAUUAUCUUCUUUAGCGUGACGAGAGAAAAUAAUUCCAUAUGAAAAAUUUUCCUUUCUGAUCCCAUGAUUCUCUUUAUGUGAUUGUUUAGGAUAACUAAUGGAUCUACUCACAAGUCUAAAGGCAAUUUUUUCUUCUCUAUUGUGGCAAAUAAAUCUACCAACAGUAUAUUUGAACAAGUUUCCAUCAACUGAACCUUCGUACUUACCAUUUUUAAUUUCACGUUUACCUCAGUUGAAGUUUCUGUAGAAUUACACUAGUCCAACAUAUUAAAUUUCUUUAGUACCUUUGAAAUGUACUUCUUAUUGUGCAUAACAAUUCCCUUUUAAAGAAACUACAAUCCUAAAAAAUAUGAUAGGAUUCUAAAAUUUGUCAUUUCAAAUUCUUUCUUAAAACUUUGUUUCAAGAAAAAAAAAAUUAUCUAUGAAGUUUUAUCAACAAAAAUAAAUUGGUUGGUAAAUUUAAGUCAACGAUAAAUUUUUAAAAUUUUAAUUAUUGAUGAAUUUAUUUCAUUGAUAUAUUAUAUAUUUUAUUUAUUAAAGAUUUUUCUGUUGAUAAAUUAAAUUUGUCUUACUUAUUUUAUUGGUAAAAUUCAUCCAUAAAAAAAAUAAAAAAGCUUUUGCCCAUCUUUUCUCUCUUUUUCUGCGAGCCACUCGUUAUCCAAUCAUAAUUAUCCAAUUUCUAACCAUACUUUUGGUAAUUGAUUGCUAAAAUCCCACUAAAAGUAAAAUCAAUAAUAAAAAGAUUUUAAUUUCCUUAUAAUCUAUAAUUGUCCAUCCACCCAGUGUAAAUCUUUUCUUGGUAAUACACAUUGUUAUUUAUAACAUAAAAUCCAAUACAGUAAAAGUUGAUAAAGAAAAUGAGAAGAAAAGAAAACUUGAAGCCCUUAUGAUUGUUGUAAUGUUUCUGGAAUUCCUAUGUUCCAGGAAUUAUUUACGUGUGUAUUGGAUCGCCAAGAUUGGGUGUAGGAGGUGGACUUGCCAUGGGACCCCUAGCUGCAAAUUCAUAUCAUCACAAUUUUUAGAAAACAUAUUUUACACAUUCAAUAUGAUAUUAUACUAUUAAAAAAUAAAAUUAAAAUUUAAUUUAAUCUUAUAAAAUCAAUAUUUAAUUUUAUUUAUAUUAUAAGAAUUGUCUAUACUUAUUAUUCAAAUAUUUUUUGUAAAGUUUUAGAUGAUUGAACGAGAGAGACAAACCUGCUCUUACUGGAAUUGGUUGGAUGAAGAAAGUGAAGGUGAUUAUGAGGAGAAUACAGAAAGAUAAAGACAGAGAAGAAAGAGUGGUCCGAGCCAUCCCAAGUUUGUGUGUUCAAUGCUGAAACCCAAACUCCAUUAAUAUACAACUUCUCCUUCAGAGUCACCAAACCUAAAUUUUCCUUCUUUUCGAGCUUUCGGUGAAACUUUCCAUAGAAAAAUAGGUCAAUAAAGAUAAUAAAAUACACACCAAACCUCAUUGAUGCCGGUC